rnacentral:rRNA from 1 species
GACGAACGCUGGCGGCGUGCUUAACACAUGCAAGUCGAGCGGUAAGGCCCUUUCGGGGGUACACGAGCGGCGAACGGGUGAGUAACACGUGGGUGACCUGCCUUUAGCUCUGGGAUAAGCCUGGGAAACCGGGUCUAAUACCGGAUAUGACUCCGCGGCGCAUGUUGUGGGGUGGAAAGCCUUGUGCGGCUGGGGAUGGGCCCGCGGCCUAUCAGCUUGUUGGUGGGGUGAUGGCCUACCAAGGCGACGACGGGUAGCCGGCCUGAGAGGGCGACCGGCCACACUGGGACUGAGACACGGCCCAGACUCCUACGGGAGGCAGCAGUGGGGAAUCUUGCGCAAUGGGCGAAAGCCUGACGCAGCGACGCCGCGUGAGGGAUGACGGCCUU